AGGACGAACGCUGGCGGCGUGCUUAACACAUGCAAGUCGAGCGGAAAGGCCCUUCGGGGUACUCGAGCGGCGAACGGGUGAGUAACACGUGAGUAACCUGCCCUUGGCUCUGGGAUAGCUCCGGGAAACCGGAAUUAAUACCGGAUAUGACUUCGGCCGACAUCGGCUGCGGUGGAAAGAUUUAUCGGCCAGGGAUGGGCUCGCGGCCUAUCAGCUUGUUGGUGGGGUAACGGCCUACCAAGGCGACGACGGGUAGCCGGCCUGAGAGGGCGACCGGCCACACUGGGACUGAGACACGGCCCAGACUCCUACGGGAGGCAGCAGUGGGGAAUAUUGCGCAAUGGGCGAAAGCCUGACGCAGCGACGCCGCGUGGGGGAUGAAGGCCUUCGGGUUGUAAACCCUUUCGGCAGGGACGAAGCGAAGUGACGGUACCUGCAGAAGAAGCGCCGGCUAACUACGUGCCAGCAGCCGC
rnacentral:rRNA from 1 species